AGUGGGAUUGCUGGAUCAUAUUAAUUGUAUUUUAGUUUUAGGAGGAAGAUUCAUACUGUUUUCCAUAAUGGUUGUACUAAUUUAUACUUCCACCAACAGU
rnacentral:pre_miRNA from 1 species